rnacentral:rRNA from 1 species
AGAAUCAACGCUGGCGGCGUGCCUAACACAUGCAAGUCGAACGCGAAAGCCCCGCAAGGGGUGAGUAGAGUGGCAAACGGGUGAGUAACACGUGGGUGACCUGCCUUAGAGUGGGGGAUAACGUCCCGAAAAGGGACGCUAAUACCGCAUAACAUCCUGCCUUUGAAGAGGUGGAGAUCAAAGCCGGGGACCGCAAGGCCUGGCGCUCAAAGAGGGGCCCGCGCCUGAUUAGCUAGUUGGUGAGGUAAUGGCUCACCAAGGCAACGAUCAGUA